rnacentral:rRNA from 1 species
GACGAACGCUGGCGGCGUGCUUAACACAUGCAAGUCGAGCGGUAAGGCCCUUUCGGGGGUACACGAGCGGCGAACGGGCGAGUAACACGUGGGUGACCUGCCCUCAGCUCUGGGAUAAGCCUGGGAAACCGGGUCUAAUACUGGAUAUGACUCCAUGACGCAUGUUGUGGGGUGGAAAGCCUUGUGCGGCUGAGGAUGGGCCCGCGGCCUAUCAGCUUGUUGGUGGGGUGANGGCCUACCAAGGCGACGACGGGUAGCCGGCCUGAGAGGGCGACCGGCCACACUGGGACUGAGACACGGCCCAGACUCCUACGGGAGGCAGCAGUGGGGAAUCUUGCGCAAUGGGCGAAAGCCUGACCCAGCAACACCGUGUGGGUGAUGAAGGCC